rnacentral:lncRNA from 1 species
GAGUGUGAGUGUGUCUCUGUGUGUGUAGGGGUCGAGGUGGGGGGGGUCCGUGUUUGCGAUCUGAACCUUUGGUACCUACAAGGAGGGUGUCUCACCGAACGGUAGCUAAAACCUCACCAGAACCGCGCGGAAGUGAGAAGUCGCGGCCAAAGGCGCCCGCAGAAGCCUCCUCUCUGGGCCGGACCCCAGCCCGAGCGGCCGAAAGGAGCCCCCCGCCCGGAUCACAGCUGCUGCAGCUGCCGCUGAAAUUCGCUGUGGCCGCUGCCUCUUCCCGCUUUAAUCCCAGACCUCCAGUCAUUGGGCAGCUCCUCAGAGGCAAGAAGUCAACACCAUGGCAACCCGACAAGCCUAUCAAAUCACCGGCUGGCGUGACAGCAGCAACACUGCAGGCAGGAGUGGGCUGGGCGGAAGAGCAGAGUGGCCACUGCGCUCAGAAGUUUACAAGGAAAGGGGAAAUGUCUGAAAUGGAGAUUGCACAAUCCUGUCUUGAAGCAGAAGACUCAGCUAGAGCACAUCUGGAAACACCUGGCACUCCUCAAUAGAAUUCAAAUGCUAUUUUAAAAGAGUCCAUUUCUAAGAAGAUGUGGUUCGAACAUACAGAGCUACAUAAUAUGAGUAAAAUAGGACCUAACAGUAGUGUUCUCCAGCAUUGCUCUGCCUUUCCUUUUCUGGAUGUAACAACAUUACUAAGAAAGGAAGAAAAAGCAAAAAUCUGCUCUCGGGGAGAUUCCAGAAUGUUGGAAAGCCCCAAAUGGAAGUCUCUGCUUUGGUUACAGGACAUAAGGUUUAAUAAAUAAAAAGAUGCUCAUCUGGGAUGCUGCACCAAUUAUCAUGUACUAAAUAAGGUUACCUACUUCACUCUCCAGGUAGAAAUGUCUAUCAUAAGCAUGUGCCACAGAAGGUCUCUCAAGUAUCAUUAUUGGCUGUGUUGAAUUUUGUUUUUAGUUCUCUUUUAUAAGGUCUGUAGUCUUACUUUCAGUGAGGAAGUGUUUUCUCAGGUUCUCAAGAAAGUAACAAAAUGCCAGCAUUGUCAAGGUCACCAUUGCCACUGAAUUAUCUUACUGUCUGAUUAUUCCAUCUUCCUCUGCAUCAUAUUAGCCUGAUGACUACAUUCUAAUUAUUUAAAGCGUUAUGUAAAUCAAAGCAGUAAAUGUAAUUUCUAGUCUUACUAGAUAUCAUGUACAUUAGGUCGAAUAACUCUAGAAAUGUCGUCAUAAUCAUGUCAUGCCUAAUGAUGACCUACUCAGCCCCUGCCAACAUCAUUCAAUUACUCAUUUCAGUAUUGAUUUUUCUCAUGCCUCUCUUCGUGGCAUUUAAACAGCCCUCACAUCUCCCCUUUUACUGAGGUGUAAUGUUGUAUAAUGACAGAGAUGCUUUGCUUCCCAGAUUCAUAAUGUUACACUCUGUUUCAAAUCCUUUUGGAGACAAAUUGGGGAAUCAAUAUAUAAAUAAUGACACACUUAUUUUUAAUUAAAAUCACUGCUUUCACAGAAAUGGUAUAUUAAAAUUAUUUUUGCUAAAAAAAUUUUAAAUACCUAUGUACGAUAAAAAGACUGCCAAUCCUUGGGAUCAAGAAUAUAAUUUGCCCCAAAUAACUUUUCUGUAAAAGUAGAAUUCUUAAUGGAAAAUAGAUUAAUACAUAUAAUUUCAAGAUCUAACCUUAAAAAUGGAAAUAAUGUGUCCAUUUUUAAAAAUAAAUCAUAUUUACAUA